rnacentral:rRNA from 1 species
UACGUAGGUGGCAAGCGUUGUCCGGAUUUACUGGGCGUAAAGAGCGCGCAGGCGGUUGAUUAAGUCGAAUGUGAAAGCCCCCGGCUCAACUGGGGAGGGUCAUUCGAUACUGUCCGACUCGAAGGCAGGAGAGGGAAGCGGAAUUCCCGGUGUAGCGGUGAAAUGCGUAGAUAUCGGAAGGAACAUCAGUGGCGAAAGCGACUUCCUGGACCAAUACUGACGCUCAUGUGCGAAAGCGUGGGGAGCAAACAGG